GCUCGUCUUUUACCACACCGUAGACGGGCCCUUUCAUCAUCUGUAAAAAAAGAAGAAGAUGUGAAAACGAAAAACGCGUUGAUGUCUGCGUGAAAGGUGCUUACGUACUCGGCUCCGAGCCUCUCCUCUCCUCUCCUCUCUUCUCGUCCCCUCCCCUCCGCUGACCUUGCGCAGAAGCAGAGCCCCUCAUCCCAAAAGCAAACCCAACCCAACCGUGGCUCCGAGGGAAGCCUUCCUUCCUUCUUCCCUCUGCCCAGUGAUGGAUACAUGACAUCCAUCGGCGCGCCUGUCUGCCCACGGAUUCACAGAUCCAUCGGCGCCGCAUCUGUGGCAGAAACAACGGAUCUAUCCACUAUGCGCAGGCAGGCAGGCAGAAACAACGGAUCUAGCAUGCCUGAUGGCGAGCGAGUUGAGACGGGAACUUUGUUCUUAAUUCCGCUUUUACUCUUUCUCUAUAUAAUAUACUAUGUAUGUUUGGAAGAUCUUCAUCGCCCCAAGCGGAGCGGAGCUGAUCCCUUUGCUUGUUUGUCGUCGAUUGGUUGAUUUGAUUGAUUGUCGUGGUAUCCCAUCCCACAGAAAAAACGAGUUAUAAUUUGCUCUGCGUGAUUUCAGUAUGCUUUGCCAUCCCACAGAAAAUCAGAUUUGCAAUCUCUGUUUAAUUUUACAAGGCAGUCUCCUGUUUAAACUUUACAGAAUUUUAGCUCAACAUUUCAACAAAAUUUUACAGAAUUUCCUGCAGAUUGCAGAGACACUAAAGUCAGGCUUGUAAUCAUUUGUUGCUUCACGGCUUUGGAGCACCAUGUACGUACUAUAUAUGCUCCUGCCACUAGUCUUCCAUUCGACAGAGUCAUCGACCUACUUUGACUGAUGUUUAUCAGCAACCCAGUUAAUAAUACCGAGUUGAAUGUGAAUUCAUUCAUACCGAAUUUGUGCUCCACGAAGAUGUGUGGACGUGCAACCUCUUGUAAUGUCUGACUUUCAUGCUUCAUCAUGCAGAUGCGGUGUACAUUCAUCAUUCAGGAAGUGGUGUUUUAUUAUUGCAGCUCAUGACUAAACUAUUUCUAGUUGCCUUGCUCAUGUUUCAUCUCAUAAAACUAGAGGCAUGCUACACAGAUGAUGCAAUACUACCCGUUGGAAAUUAUCAUCUUCUCAUUCAAUAUUUAUAUGUUUGGUUUGUUGGUUGGCAAGACAGCACGCAAGAGAGGAGAGAUUCAUCUUUGCCUGGUGGCCUUUGGAGGACCUUGCAAACCGACCACAUGUUAAGUAAUCACCUCCCCUUUUUACUCUGUUGGUAUGAAUGAAUUUGGUUCCUGACUCAUGUACUAGUAUAUAUUCUCUUCUAGUUGGUCAUAUUAGGCGCUUCUAGUAAUUUCUUCAUUGUUUAAAAGUAGGACUCAAAUAAUAUGAUCUCACAUAUAAUCACUAGCCUCAAGCCUCAGCCGCUAACAAGAUUAUGUAACCUUAGAGGAUGGUAGCCCUCAUACAAUAGUUAAAAGCAGCCUCUCGGACCCCUUCUCUUGUUGAAGGACAAAAGCUACCGGUGUGGGCGCUUUUUUCAAGGACCUUGUUGCUUAGAUCAACAACAACCUCAGUUUUUUAGGAGUAGAUGCCACCGCAAAUUUAAAUUUUGUUAGCGCACACAGUUUUCAUUGGAUUCUUCACACCCGAUGGUACUAAAAAAGCAAAAAAAUUCUGGUGAAAAUAUGUGUUCAGUUCAGAUGUGGGUGCUCCGUAGCCUCAUUAGCUAAAAGAGGUUGAUGAGACCUGCUAAGAUCGGGUUAGUUUUGCACCUUAGCUGUAACUGUAAAAUAAACUGAGAGACGUACUAGAUGCAUAGAGAAAACUUGAGGAAUAUCCCAUGGAAGCUAGCUCCCAGAAAAAUCAGAGCUAUCCUAUCUCUGUUGUUUCCUAUGGGACUAUUUAACAGAGUGGGUGGGAAAUAGAUUUUGAGAAAGCGAUUCCUAUUUGGAUGCCAUCUAACAGUCAAUACAAACAUUGUACUCCCUCCGUUCCCUUCUAAAUGUAAGCAUUUUUAGAGAUUCCAAUACGGACUACAUAUGGAGCAAAUGAGUGAAUCUACACUCUUCUAAAAUAUGUCUCUGUACAUCCGUAUAUAGUCCGUAUUGAAAUCUCUAAAAAAGCUUAUAUUUAGGAACAGAGAGAUAAAAGAUUAAGCAUGUUAUUACUACGGCUACUACAACUUGUGGGUAAGCUCGUAGAUUUUCACCAAGUUAUGACCCUAGUUAAUGUUCAAAAAACAGGUUUGCGUAAGUGAAGCGGAAUGCCACAGCUAAGAGCCUAAGAGCAACUGAAGCAUUUUUUUUAAAUGGCCAGGAUUUGGCUGUUUUUGAAUAACAAGCACAGGAGAAUAUGAAACAUAGCAAACGGCUAAUUGAAAUAGCAUAUAAUAUGCAGUUCACACCAUAGCAAAUGUGCACCAGGUUCACACAGGAAGCAAAAUAAGUAAAUACCAACUAAAAUGCACUUCACACUGUAGCAAAUACACACCAGGUUUAGGCAUAUUGUAAUGAGAAGGAUAAAUUGCACAUGGCCAUCAUUGUGCAAGCAGCCAAGCAUUGUAGUUCAACAGCAGGCAAAUUCUAGAGUUUUAUUUGCUAAAUAGGGAAUAAAUGUAUGACCUGCAAAUAAUCAUAAAUAUCUUGAGCUCAAGCCAACAAUCAGAAAGAAUCCUGCAAGUAAAUUUCAUCACAAGUGGAUAGUAACAUUGCAUUGCAGGCAGGGCAAAAAAUUCAUCCAUCACAGGAGGAUCAAUGUAUUAAUACCAUGACAGAGAUAAGCAAAAUCCAGGGCAUUUAAUCAUCCAUCAAUCCCUCUCUCUCUUUGGUCGGUCUAUUGUAUGGGCUUGAAACGAGUGAGGCCGAGGCUGCCUCAUGGAUGAUUUCUCGGCCUUGAUCUUUUUGGCACCCGCCUUGGCUCGCUGCUUCCUCUCCUCCGCCUCCGCCUUUGGGGCCUUCCUCUCCUUGGCCCGCUGGAUCUUGCUGCGCGAGGCCUGCUGCGCCUCCCUCCUCUCGGCGGCGGCGAGGUCGCUCACCCGGCGCAGAUGGGGAUGUGCUUGUUGAUCCAUUCCUGCGACUCGUACCCGCGGAAGCUGCAGGUUCGGCAGACUCUGCCUAUUCUGUUUUCGUCAAGCGUUUCCCUCUCACCGUGGUCAUAUUCGUCCUUCUUCUUUGAUAAAUAUAAUAAUAAAACAAGUUGUCAAUGUUUUCUUUUUCUUUCGAGAAACUUUCAAUCUAUUCUAUUCAUCGUAGAACAUAUCACAAAUAACAAAAAUUACAACCAGGUCCAUGUACCACCCAACGGCGACUACAAGCGCUAAAGCAAGCCCAAAGCGUAUCGCCCCUUUCUCGUCGGAGCCGAACAAACUUUAAUGUAGUACACAGUUGGAGAAUAAUAAUGCUAAAGCCUUAGAGCAACUCUAGCAGACCCCGCAAAUCGCCUGACCCGCAGAAAUUCCGGCGAGUAGCCCGCAAACCGCACGCCCCGAGCAGUAUAAUUGCGGUUCCGCGACCCUUUUGCGAGUCCAAACCCUAUCCCCCCGCCGCCGCGAGCCACCCGAUUCCCCUUUCCCCUCUCCCAAUUUCUCGCCGCCGGCGACCACCCGCCCCGCCUCCAGCGGCAAUGUGGGGGCGAAUGUGGAGCUCCGGACGCGGCUCUGGCAGCAGAUCCGGCCGUGAGCGCGACCCAGAGCGCGAGCGGCGUGUCCGGUCGGACAGCGCGAGGAAGCGCGGCGCCCGGAGGUGGACUAACCAAGGGAUGUCGCCGCCGGCGAGCUUCAACCGCCACGAGACGGAGGAGUACGACCGCCGGCGCGCGUCCUUCUCCUCCGCGAGGUCCUACGCCAGAUCCUCCUCGUCCUCCGGCGCGGGCUUCCUCCCCAUGAAGAGGGAGUGGUCGGACGAGGAGGAGCCGGAGCCGCCGGCGCCGUUCGCCUUCGUCCCGGUGAAGGAGGAGCCCGAGGAGCCCACUCCGCUUGGCCGCCGCGGAGUCGUCGGGCCCGAGGACUGCGUCGCGGAGGACUUCGACGCCGUUGCUGCCGCCAUCGCCGAGCGGAGCAUGCGCGAGGAGGAGGAGCGCCGCCGCCACGCCCAGCAGCUCGAAGCCCUCGAGUGGCAGCAGGCGGUCGCCGCCAACAAGAAGGCUGAGGAGUGGCGCCGCAUCCGCGCGGAGCAGGCGGCGAAGUAUGUCGACCUGUGCAGCUCCUGCGAGGAGGAUUGAGCAUCCGGCUCCUCCACGGCGUCGUCCAGUUGCCGCGACCUCGCCACCGUCAGAUCCAACCCCUCUGCUACUAGUUUAACGUAGUAUGUAGUAUAAACUAUGCUUGUAGUUUGUUGAUCAAGUGAUGAACUAUGUUAGUGCAAUUUCUCCCGCGAAAGUGUUUUUUUAAAUUAUGCAGGUUUUGAUACGGGUUCUGUUCGGCCGCGCAUGUUUUCGACCUGCAAACGCAAUCUUCGUGAAACCGCAAACGCGUUUUGCGGGUCAAAUUUAUAUUUUUCAUUAUAAAAAUAUUAGAAUAAAAAUUUAAAUAUGAUGCGAUACAAAAAAAAUACUAUUCAUCAUAAAUAGUACAGUGAGUGUCAUCCUAAUUUUAAUAAACUGUAAGCUCACAUGUAAAUCACUUGCUGAUGAUUAUUCUCGGGAAUUUACCAUUUAGGGCAUGUUGCAUUUCUGUCGUCAUGAUAUAACAAUGGGCCAAAUCAUUAUAAGAAAAUAUGUUGCAUUUCUCUCACAGCUAACAACCACUUUCUUCUAAAAAAUGCAAACAACCACUUUUUGGUCCCGAGCUCCUCUACCCCACCACCGCGCGUCGAUUCCGGCAACACCGUCGUCGUCCCUUCACGUGCUGGUCGUCCCUGUGAAUCAAGAGCUCACAUACAUAGGAGGGGAGAUGGAACGAUUUUUUGUGCAACAUGCCUCUUGUGUUGACCCUAUCAUGGAGCAGCAGCCAAAAGAAGAUUUUAUAUCUCAACAUAACAGCAGCAGACCAAAUCUUCUUAAAAACUGGGCACAUACUGGCUUGAUGAAACAUUGCUCCAUGCAAUGAGGGCAGGACCAGCACCUUCUUGACCAUACUCACAGGGGCAAGUGAAAAAGAUCCUGGAAAGUGGUGUAGUCCGCAGGUUCUUUAAUUGAGAGCAGUUCAUCCUUUGCAAAAGAGAACAAGUGUGGGAAUUUCAGUUUGAGUGUAGUGGGGCCCCAUUUAUCAUGCCAAAAUAGAACCGAAGAACCUUGCCCUACUGUGCAAUGUGCCAUAUCUUUCAAAGUGGAGAGGAGUUUGAUGAUGGACUUCCACCAGAAAGAACCAACAGGUCUGCCAUUUGGUGCACUGCUCCCAUAGUAAGUAUCUGCUUAUUCAUGAACUUAUGAAGAUGCUUUAGGAGAAGAGCUUUAUUGUGAGGAGAUAUCCAACACCCCCAAACCACCCUGUUCUUUUGGCUUGCAAAAAGUGCUCCAUGCAAUGAGGGCAGGACCAACACCCUCUUGACCAUACUUCCUCCAGAAGCAUUGUCUGAUGUAAGAAUUAACCUGAUCCACAACAGUGGCAUGAAGUUCCAGAGAGCACAUGAAGAAGGUUGGCAGGCUGGUGAAAACACUCUUGAUAGGUGAAAGCUUUUCUCCUGUUGAAAGCAAGGUGGAGCAACCUGUAAGCCUUCUUUCAAUUCUUUUCAUCAUGGGGAAAAAGUCUUCCACUUUUGGUUUUUUAGUGCCUAGAGGCAGGCCCAGGUAUGUAAACGGAAAAUAACCAAUAUUGCAACCCAAAAUGGCAGCUAGCUGAUCCAAUUUGGCAUGAUCCACAUUGAUUGGAUACAUAGCCAUUUUUGAAAAGUUGAUCCCGAGGCCAGUGUUACCAGAGAAAUGCAAUAACAGGUUUUGAAUUUGCUGUAAUUGUGUUGGACAAUCUGGCAAUAUAACAAUUGUGUCAUCAGCAUAUUGAAUGACAGGAAAAUCUUUGUUGUUGUCCAGAGGAGAGGAAAUCAACUUAUGUUUCAAGGCCUCAUUGAAGAUAGAUUGCAGAAUGUCAGCAGCCAGCACAAAAAUCAAAGGAGAGACUAGAUCCCCCUGUCUCACACCUUUCUUUCACCAAAAUUGCUUUCCUGGUACUCCAUUGAGGAGGACAUCAGAAGUUCCUGAAGAAAAGAUCAUGUCCAUCCAUUUCAUCCAUCUAGGUCCAAAACCUUUUGCUACCAUAAUACUUUUCAGAGUGUGAUGUUCAAUCAUGUCAAAAGCCUUUUCAAAAUCUAAUUUUAGAAUGACAAUUUCUCUUUUGGACUAAUUACGUUGAUGCAAAUAUUCAUAUGCCCAUGCCAAACAAUCUUGGAUUGACCUCUCUUUCAGAAAACCAUAUUGAUUUCUGUGAACAAGUUUCAGAAUAACUUUUUGCAAUCUGUUAGCCAACAACUUUGUGAUAAUCUUGAUGGAGCAAUUUAGGAGUGAAAUGAGUCUGAAAUCACUAGCCUCAAUAGGAGCAUCCUUCUUGGGGAUCAGAGUUAUAGAACAGGAAUUGAUGCUCUGCAGAUCCACUUCACCUUUAAAAAAAAUCCUCAAUCAGUUGGUAGAAAUCUGAAGCAAUGAUGUCCCAACAAGAUUUAACAAAGUUGGUAUUAAACCCAUCUGGCCCAGGGGCUUUAUUUGAGGGAAGAUCUUUUACCACUGCAUCAAUCUCUGUUUUAGUAAAGGGGGUUUCAAGCCAAUGGAGAUCAUCAGAGUUCUCAAUAAGAUUUUCUAGGCCUAGCAGAUUGAAGGUGGGCAUAGAAGUCCCAAGCCUUUAUUUGAAAGCUCUCCAAAGGAUAUUAGCUUUGGCUUGAUGUUCAGAAUGCUCAAUCCCAAACUCAUCUUUGAGAGUAGCAAUGUGGUUGUUUCUGAAUUUAAUGGUGACUUUAACUUUGAGUGAGUUUGUUCCAUCUAAUAGUAGCCCUUUGUUUCCAGUAAGCUUGCUGUGCAGAUAGAAUUUUUAGCAGAUGGUCCUUGAGAAAUUGUCUGAAAUCCCAUUCUAGGGGGUAAGAUCCCUAAAUUCCUCCACAGUAUCAAGAAACAAAAUCACAUCAUUGGAAUUUUGAAUUAGUGAGGCCAAAUUUGAUUUAAUUUUAGCCAAAUCUUGAGCCCUUUCCUAAGUCUCUUAAUUUUGGCAGUAAGUCUCUGAGCACUAUCCUUUCCUUGAACUCCCUGGUUCCAAAUCUGCUGAAUUGUUUCUUUGAAAUCAUGGUGAUUAAGCCAGUAAUUUUAAAAUCUGAAAAUUGUUGAUUUUGGAAUAGCAGUCCCUACUUUAAAUACACAGGGGCAGUGAUCUGAAAUGGGUUUAGCAAGAGGGAUGGCCAAGGUGUUUGGGUAUUGCAGAGUCCAGGAUUCAGAAGAAAAAGCCCAAUCCAGUUUGUCUAAAAGAGGAGCUUGUUGCAUGUUACUCCAAGUGAAGUUUCUACCUUUCAGGGGGAUUUCCACAAGGGCCUGAGCUCUGAUGGCAUCAUUGAAAGAGAGCAUGUCUUGCACAUUACCACCUGCUCUAUUUCUGUUGUCUGAAUAUCUCAUGAAAUUGAAAUCUCCAACCACUAACCAGUCUGUGCUAUCUGUCAUGUAAAUGUUUUUGAACCACUGAAUGAAAUCAACUCUGGCCUCUCCUUGACAGGGAGCAUAGACAUUAGUGAGUACCCAUGAAGCACCCGAGAGGGUGGAGGUAAACUGAAUUGAAAUGGAGAAGACGUUCUGGAAAAGGGUGGUUCCCACAAAAAGGUCACUAUUCCAACCUACAAAUAGUCCUCCUGAUGCACCCACCGAGGGAGAAAAACAAAUUUGUUCAGUCUCCUAGGGCAGAAAUGUUUGACGUACUGGCUGUCAAAAGAUUCUCUCUUAGUUUCUUGUAAGCAGAUAAUAUCACAAUUGGUUUCUGCAAUCUUAUUUGCAAUAGCUAGCCACUUUGCUGGAUCGUUAAUGCCUCUCACAUUCCAAUUGAGGAUAUUCCAAUUUCUAUUAUGCAUUUAGGGAGAUAGAGCUUUAAACACUUUGAGAAGGCCAUAAAAACUGUUUAAUGAUACUGGUACCAUCAACAAAAACAAAUAAUCCAGGAUUCAUACAAGCAUUACAGACUGAUACUGUAGGUUCAAAACUGAAUAAGUGCAUCACUAUUACAGAAGAAGAGCAUCCUGGUAACUAGAAACAAGAAGCUGAACUAAUCCAACUAGUCCUGCUCCUUUGAUCCCUGCCCUUUCCUCUGGGACCUCCUUGUGGGAUCCAAUGCAGGCUUUUGCUUCUUUGUCUUCUUCUGCACAGCAGCAGAAGGGCCAUUAAAUUCCUGAAUUUUUCAAAAGGAGGAACUUAGGUUUCUGACCACUUUGUUAGCAAUUAUAGGUGAUCAGCAUUAUAGGGCGUACAAUCUGUCCAGACAAAGAUUCCUCUUAUAUCCUUUGUUUAUCAACUGCAAUCUUUCACUCCUCCUUACCUCAGAUUUUACCAUGGGUAUCUUUUCCUUCCUCUUCCUGUUAGCAUGCACUGCAGAUGUACUUGAAGGUUGCACAUCAACUGGCAAGGAUGAUCCCUUCCCUUGAGGAGUGGAUAAAACCAGUUUGGGGGCCUCCUCUGCAGUUUCCAUAAUCUACAACUUGCAUGCAGGGGCCUUAUCAGAAGUGCAUUUAUCAGGAAUGACAAAUGGUUUAAAGAGUGUACUUUCAGAGCCUUCCAGAAUAUAUGUCCAUAUUUGGGAGGAGAGUAGAGAUUUUUCCCAUUCAAAUCUAUCAGGUGAGAGUAAGGCAAGAGAUAAAUUUUUUUGUCCACUCUAUGGGCACCUGAACCACCUUGUCUGAAUCUGAGGAGGGAGCAAAAUGCUUGUUCCAGACAGAUGAUCCUUCUUUACCUAAAAUUUGGGUGUCAGUCAUCUCUGGGAGCAUCUUUUGAAAAACAGGAUCUGCAACAUCAGACAUAAAUUGCAUAGCCCCAACUGUGAUAUUAUGUUGCAGUCCCUGGCAGAUAGGAAGAGGGAAGCCUGGGGGUGCCGGAGGAGUAGUACCUUGAUCCUCAGGAAACUUGUCAAAAGAGUGCCCAUGGAUAGCUAGCUCUUGCAAUGCCAUAUGUGUGUUUAAGGAAAGUGCUGCUUGCUGUUCUAAAGGAUUCUCUCUCUGAAUAUCAGAAGAUUCAACAGCUGUGUCAUGAUGUGCAAUGACAUGGCUCUGCAAACCAGGCUGUGAAGCAUGUAGCUCUAAGGAAUCAGUGGCUAAAAUGGCAGUAUGGGCAUCAGCAGUAACUGUUGGGACAACCCUUUGAACAGGCACAGGGGCAGAUGAAGUUGUAACAUCAUCAUUUGCUUGGGAUAUAUUGGCAAGUGAACUGCAACUGGAGAAGAGACAGGUGCAGCAACUUCCGCUAACAUGGCAAUAGGUUCUGCUGAAGCAACUGCAACAUCAACAUGCUGCUUGGCAAUAGGAGGAUUAAUCAUCAGAGGUUGUUCUAAAACUGGCAUAGGCUCCAUCACAUCAGCAGCAAUAGGAAAAAAAUUCAACUUCCUAAGCCAGUGGUACAUUCACAGCCAAAUUCAAAUCAAGUAUAGGUAAAUUCAGAUCUAGUGGGGCCAUAAGAGCUGCAUGAGCAUUGACUGGAGGUCCAUUGUUGAUAGAUUCUGCAGAACUACCAGACUGAGCAGGAAUUGCCAGAGAUAAAGUCACUCCACUCUCAUCAUUUAACUGUGCAGGCAAACAUGCUGCCUUCUCAGUUGGCUGGAGCUUCAUGUGGGUUAUUUUAUUAGGACUUCUAUUUGCCGGGGUUGGAGCUUAUGGAGUGUACAAAUACAGGGCUACUGCCUACCGGCGCUUCACUCCCCGGCAAUGGCGCCAGAAAAGAGUCUUGAUGACCCACAAGUAUA